rnacentral:rRNA from 1 species
UAGGGAAUCUUCGGCAAUGGACGAAAGUCUGACCGAGCAACGCCGCGUGAGUGAAGAAGGUUUUCGGAUCGUAAAACUCUGUUGUUAGAGAAGAACAAGGACGUUAGUAACUGAACGUCCCCUGACGGUAUCUAACCAGAAAGCCACGGCUAACUACGUGCCAGCAGCCGCGGUAAUACGUAGGUGGCAAGCGCUGUCCGGAUUUAUUGGGCGUAAAGCGAGCGCAGGCGGUUUCUUAAGUCUGAUGUGAAAGCCCCCGGCUCAACCGGGGAGGGUCAUUGGAAACUGGGAGACUUGAGUGCAGAAGAGGAGAGUGGAAUUCCAUGUGUAGCGGUGAAAUGCGUAGAUAUAUGGAGGAACACCAGUGGCGAAGGCGGCUCUCUGGUCUGUAACUGACGCUGAGGCUCGAAAGCGUGGGGAGCAAACAGG